AUAGGCUUUGUAUUUGUAUUAUUUUGUCAGUCAAUCUCAACCUGUUCGAGAACAGAACGAAUUUCAGAUAAGCAAAAUAGAAAAUCAUGGAGACGAUUGGUUUUAAAGUUCUCACAAGCGUCCCCGACGAUCCUGACACGGGAAGGUUUGUCGGCCAGUCACGUUACUUGAAGCUGGAAAUACCAGCCGUCGUGGAGGGUGUCCGUCGCUUUCUGCACGGCGUGGCCGUCAAGCAGACAUUCACCGGCGACGUGGUGAUGGAGGACGCUGUGGAAAUGACUGCUAAAACUGUGCUCCACUACCACGGAAUCGUUAAGGUGCCGCGCGCAGCCAUAGUCCAGUUUAUAUACCCGAAACACUUAUUUUUGCCAGAGUUUGAAUAAUUCCUAACCUACACUUACUUGCACUCACACUUACGCAUGCACUGCACCUCCCCCGCCACAAUGAUUGUCGCAAAAUUCAAUAGACAAAAACAAUUAAAAUGAACCCUCAAAAUGUAAUCAAAAACAAAAAAUAAAAGCCCCUCAGCAAAUGCUAAUCAACUGGCAACAAAAAAAAAACCA